UACGAAGGGAGCUAGCGUUGUUCGGAAUCACUGGGCGUAAAGCGCACGCAGGCGGUGCAGUAAGUUUCGAGUGACAGGUGGUGGCUUAACUGCCACAGGCCUUGGAAAACUGCUGGACUUGAGGGCUUGAGAGGGACGCGGAAUUCCAGGUGGAGCGGUGAAAUGCGUAGAGAUCUGGAAGAACACCAAAGGCGAAGGCAGCGUCCUGGCGAGCAACUGACGCUCAUGUGCGAAAGCUAGGGGAGCGAACGGG
rnacentral:rRNA from 1 species